GAGAAGCCUCUGGUCGAUAGAACACUGUAGGUAAGGGAAGUCGGCAAAUCGGAUCCGUAACUUCGGGAAAAGGAUUGGCUCUGAGGAUUGGGGCGGUCGGGCCGGAUCAGGAAGUAGUUUGUGCUCACGUGCUGGGCCUGGACAAGGCUUUCGGGUCGAGUUCGGUCCCAUGCCGCGGCCUGCUAUGGAUCGGUUCGGCUAUGAGAGCCGUUGGGUGUAAAAGCUCAGCGGAGUCCUCUCUUCGGCCUCCAUUGGAACAAUCAACUCAGAACUGGCACGGACCGGGGGAAUCCGACUGUCUAAUUAAAACAAAGCAUUGUGAUGGCUCUUGCGGGUGUUGACACAAUGUGAUUUCUGCCCAGUGCUUUGAAUGUCAAAGUGAAGAAAUUCAUCCAAGCGCAAGUAAACGGCGGGAGUAACUAUGACUCUCUUAAGGUACCCAAAUGCCUCGUCAUCUAAUUAGUGACGCGCAUGAAUGGAUUAACGAGAUUCCCACUGUCCCUAUCUACUAUCUAGCGAAACCACAGCCAAGGGAACGGGCUUGGGCCCAUCGGCGGGGAAAGAAGACCCUGUUGAGCUUGACUCUAGUCUGGCUUUGUGAGGAGACACGAGAGGUGUAGCAUAAGUGGGAGACUUUGUCGACUUUGAAAUACCACUACUCCCGUCGUUUCCUCACUUACUCGGUGAGGCGGGAAGCGGCUGCAGUGCCUUCGGGCGCUGUUGUCGGAAUUGUUGAGCCAAGUCCCUAGUCCCCUAGAGGGCGGGUGCUUUUUGGAGGGUGUGGAUGCCUGGGCAACUGGGUGUUCAUAUCUGAAGACUAGUGCUGGGACGACUCGAUCCGAGGACACCGCCAGGCG
rnacentral:rRNA from 1 species